GACGAACGCUGGCGGCGUGCCUAACACAUGCAAGUCGAACGGAGAUAUAAUUUCGGUUAUAUCUUAGUGGCGAACGGGUGAGUAACGCGUGAGCAACCUGACCUUCAGAGGGGGAUAACACUUGGAAACAGGUGCUAAUACCGCAUAAGACCACGACCCGACAUCGGGAUGAGGUCAAAGGAGAAAUCCGCUGAGGGAGGGGCUCGCGUCCCAGUAGAUAGAUGGCGAGAUAAAGGCCCACCAUGUCGACGAUGGGUAGCCGAGCUGAGAGGCUGAUCGGCCACACUGGAACUGAGACACGGUCCAGACUCCUACGGGAGGCAGCAGUGGGGAAUAUUGGGCAAUGGGCGCAAGCCUGACCCAGCAACGCCGCGUGAGGGAAGAAGGCCUUCGGGUUGUAAACCUCUGUCCUUGGUGACGAAAAAAAUGACGGUAGCCAAGGAGGAAGCCCCGGCUAACUACGUGCCAGCCGCCGCCGUAA
rnacentral:rRNA from 1 species